CUUCAGAUUAAUGACAGCAACUCGAUUGACUGGUGUUGAAAGCUGCUGACUUAUGUGAGCCAUGGAUCUCAACAUAGGUUCCAGUGUGACCCUUGUUAGCCUAAACUGCACCUCUGUUUCCCCUGAUGGAUUCUUGCCAUAAUCUUGCAGCUUCAAGUUGAUGACAGCUACUUUUCCAGCUGGCGUUGAAGUCUUAUUCUCUAUUACCCAAGUCAUGGACUUAAAAUAAGUAAGAACCACCGUGUUAUCAGGAAGACCACCAUCACGGUGGAUAGACACAGGAGCCAUGCUGGGCUGGUUCAAAUCAGUAACAG
rnacentral:misc_RNA from 1 species